UUUUGUUUUGGUUUGGGGUUUUUUUUGUCAUGGAUUUUGGUGUUGUAGGUCAGAAAGCUGAUGCUGAGGAUGACAGCUUCCAAGGUGCUUCCAAGUGAGAACAUCAAUUGCUGCUGCAGGGCCCAAUGGAAGAGAAGCCUGGUGUGACUGAAGGAGCUGUGAAUCCAAGAGGCUUCUCUUGUGUGGUGAAGAUGAACAACUACUGAUAAAGGACACUGCAUCAAAAGGAUGAUUGAAGUGUUUUGGUUUGGUUUGGUUGGAAGACUGUACUGGCUUGCCAGAGGGAAUUCAGAGAAAACCAGAAUACUUUCCCAAAGAGAAGGCAAUUUGACCACCUGCAACUGGAAAGACAUCAAUCAGAUCUCAUUUGGAUUGCCAUCCUUGGGCUUCUCCACUGCAACUCAGAGAGUCCUGGGGCCCCUGUGCCAUUCCUGCUUUGGGGACAUGGGCAGAAAAAAGGUGGUCUCUCUAUCAGACAGUUGGAUGAUGGCAGCACCCAACUUCAGCUGGAAGUGCUCAAACCCUGCAGCAAUGAGACUAAUAUUAAAAACCCUGAUAGUAUCAGGCACCACACUCCAUUAUAUCAGGACUGCAUUUCCAUCUUCAUGCUCAGUCUUCUUAAAAAAGCUUGUGGAGAGCGGGGGCUCAUGA
rnacentral:lncRNA from 1 species